AAAAUUAAAAAAAAAAAAAAGAAAGAAGAAGGAAAAAACCAGAGAGAAACACGUGAGAAUGAGUAAAGAAGGGGAUCAUACUCCCUUGACUGGAAACUCCUCCACUGGAGAUUCCUUUGCAGGCAUGACAUCUCGAUUAUCCCAGAUGAUGAAUCAAAUUCCGACUGUAGUGAAUCAAGAACCCCUCGCCACACCGAUUGGCAUUAAGUUGGAUGGCACCAACUAUGCUUUAUGGUCCCAAAUUGUUGAGAUGUAUAUUUCAGGCAAAUACAAAUUGGGAUGUAUAAAUGGAGAUUUACCACAGCCUCAACCGACGGAUUCAACAUUCAGAAAAUGGAGAACUGAUGAUGCAAUUGUGAAAGGGUGGUUGAUCAACUCCAUGGACCCUACCUUGAUUAGCAAUUUCAUUCGUUUACCAACUGCAAAAAUGGUAUGGGAUUCCAUUGCUACAACUUAUUUUGAUGGAACUGAUACAUCUCAAGUGUAUGACUUACGUAAAUGGGUGACUGGAAUGAGAAAAGCUGGGGGAUCUAUUGAAAAAUUUUACAAUGAUCUUCAAGGCUUAUGGAGAGAAAUCGAUUUCUGUCGUCCAAAUCCAAUCGAAUGUGCUGUUGAUAUACAAAAAUAUAAUUCCAUCAUACAAGAAGAUAGAGUCUAUACCUUUCUCAAUGGUUUGGAUGAUCGGCUUGACAAGGUCCGAAGUGAUGUAUUGCAGCAGAAGCCAUUCCCAACUGUUGAACAAGCUUAUGCUCAGGUCAGACGUGAAGAUAUUAGGUAGGCUGUGAUGAUAACAGGCUCAGGCUUGGAAGAUACAACUGGUGCUGUUAUGGCUUCUAAAGGAGCAAAAUUGGGACAACAAUACUCAUCUUCAAAAUUGGGGUCUCUCUCUAUGAGUACUGAUAAACUCAGUACUACACCCAAGGCUAAAGCAAAAUCAGAAGGAGGAGGAUGCACUCAUUGUGGAGGCAAGAAACAUACCAGUGAAACUUUGUUCAAGUUACAUGGAUACCCAAGCUGGUGGGAUGAACUCAAAGCUCAGAAACAACAAAAAAUUGCUGUAUCUGAUGGGGGUCUGGGAAAGGCUGCCUUGACAACUGCUGAACUUCAAUUAUCCUUCACUUCAGAAGUGGAAUCCUCAAGUAAUUCAGCAACUCUCAAUGAUCAAGGUAACCAUGGACAAGUUUUACUUAAUUCUAGCAGACAAAGUGAUUGUGAUUGUAUAAUCGAUUCAGAGGCAACUGACCACAUGACAUUUGAUGCAAAUGAUUUUUCAAAGGUCACUCAACCAAGGCGAACAACUAUUGCUAAUCCCAAUGGUGUCACUUAUCCAGUAACAGGGGCUGGAAUUGUUGCUUUAUCAUCCUCUCUCUCCUUAUCUCAUACUUUAUUUGUUCCCUCUCUCUCAAAUAAAUUAUUGUCUGUAAGCCAAGUCACUGCAGAACUAAAUUGUGUGGCACUCAUGUAUCCUACUUUUUGUUUGCUUCAGGAUAUUCCUACCAAGGAGAUCAUUAGGCGUGACUAAGAGGGGGGGUUUAUAUUACAUGGAUGACUUCAGCCUGGGUAGAGCAAAUCAUAUGCAUCAUACAACGAGUAUUAAAGAGAAGCAAAUCUGGUUAUGGCAUCGUCGUUUGGGGCAUCCAUCAUUUGGUUAUAUGAAGCACUUGUUUCUAUUUAUUUUCAGAUUUACAUAACUCGAACUUGAAAUGUGAUACUUGCAUUUUAGCCAAGAGUCAUAGGGUAUCUUACCCAGUAAGCUUGAAUAAAAGUGAUGUUCCUUUUGCUUUAAUCUAUGCAGACGUAUGGGGGCCUUUCUCAAUUAUUACUUCUUCUGGCACUUGUUGGUUUGUGACAUUUGUAGAUGAUUGCACUUGAAUGACAUGGAUAUACCUGUUAAAACAUAAAGCUGAUGUCUUUAAUGUUUUUAAAUCAUUUCAUGCAAUGGUUCAGACUCAAUAUUCAGCUAAGAGUCAGAUUUUCCGUUCGGGCAAUGGUGGUGAAUAUGUCGACCAACAAUUUCAAGCUUACUUCAAAAAUCAUGGCCUUCUACAUGAAACUUCAUGUCCUCAAACCCCACAGCAAAAUAGUAUUGUUGAGAGGAAGAAUCGAAACAUCUUAGAGACAGCUCGUGCACUAUUAAUUGGAGCGAAUGUACCAAAUAGGUACUGGGAUGAUGCAGUUGCUAUAACAGUACACUUACUAAAUAGGAUGCCCUCAAAAGUCCUCAAUUUUAAGACUCCUUUACAGGUGCUUUCUAAUCAUGUUUCCUUGCCUACUGUUUUGUUGAUCCCUCCCCACGUUUUCGGCUGUGUUGCUUUUGUUCAUUUUUAGAAAAACCAACGAACUAAGCUGGAUCCGAGCGUUGUCUGUUGCAAUUUUUUAGGAUAUGCCUUACAUAAAAAAGGCUAUCGUUGCUAUAACCCUAGCACUAAGCGCACAUAUGUCACCAUGGAUGUUACUUUUGUUGAAUCUGAUAGUUUUUUUCCAUCUCCAAUAUCCAAUUCACCUCUUCAUGGGGAGAGGUGGAAUGAAGAGCAAAAUUGGACUGAUUUUAAAUGGCCAAGAUUUAAAUAUGAUUUAGCACCAGGAAUUUCAACACUACAAGAAAUUUCAGUAGAAACCAAUAAUAGAAAUAAAAUGGUAGCUGGUGGGGAAACAAUUGGUGAUGUCGAUGUGUCUCCAAUGUCUCCAAGAGUUGAUUCUAUGUUAUCUGAAUCUGAAGAAAAAUCUCCCCACUCUUCAAUACCUGAAGUCCCGUCUCACGAGAAUAUUUAUGAGAUAAGCUCUCCCACCACUACAUCCUCUCAUACUAAAAACUUGGAAUUAUCUGUUGGUUAUAUUCUACCCCUCAGGCAUAAUCGUGGCAAGCCACCAAAUAGAUACUCUCCUGAUUAUGAGGAAAGAAGGACAAAGUAUCCCAUUGCAAAUUAUGUGUCCACUCAAAAACUGUCAGAACCUCUCAAGGCUUUUGUGCACACCUUAUCCUCAUGUCAUGUUCCAAAAAGCAUACAAGAAGCUUUAAUGGAUGCAAAGUGGGUUAAAGCUAUAAAAGAAGAAAUGAAGGCUUUGCAAAAGAUUAAAACAUGGACAUUAGUUCCAUUACCAAAAGGAAAAAAGAUGGUGGGGUGCAAAUGGGUUUUCACCACUAAACACAAGGCAGACGGAUCCAUUGACAGAUACAAGGCGAGACUCGUGGCUAAGAGAUAUACACAGACAUAUGGCAUCGACUAUCAAGAGACCUUCUCACCAGUGGCAAAACUAAAUACUGUUAGUUUUAUUGUCUUUAGCAGCAAAUUUAGACUGGCCGUUGCAUCAGUUUGAUGUGAAGAACGCCUUUCUUCUUGGUGAUCUUGAAGAGAAAGUUUACAUGGAUAUACCUCCAGGAUACGUUACAUCAUCUAAGGCUCAAGUUGCGUGUAAGGUACAACAAGCAUUGUAUGGACUAAACAAUCCCUCCAAGCAUGGUUUGGUCGAUUUAGCUUGGCAAUGUAAAAAUAUGGCUACCAACAGAGCAAUUCUGAUUACACUUUAUUCCUAAAAAAUCAUUUUGGGAAAGUGACAGCUCUAAUAAUCUAUGUAGACGACAAGAUUAUUACAGGGGAUGACUUGAAAAAGAUCUCUAAACUUCAAGAGAAAUUGGCAACUGAAUUCGAAAUUAAGAAUCUUGGAGGGCUCAAAUAUUUUCUGGGAACUGAAGUAGCAAGAUCAAAACAAGGCAUAUUUCUCUCUCAAAGGAAAUAUGUGCUAGACUUACUUUCAGAAGUGGGACUUUUAGAUUGUAAACCGACAAACACACCAAUUGUUCUGAAUCACAAACUUGGGAAAUGUUCAGAUCAUGCACCAACAAAUAAAGAGAGGUAUCAAAGGUUAGUUGAAAAACUCAUUUACUUAUCGCAUACACGCUCAAAUAUUGCUUAUGCGGUAAAUGUUGUAAGUCAAUUUAUGCAUCGCCCUUGCAAGUUUCAUAUCCGGAUUCUUCGUUAUUUAAAAUCCACUCUUGGAAAAGGGCUUAUGUUCUCCAAGCAUAAUCAUCUAAACAUUGAUGGUUACACAGAUGCUGAUUGGGUAGGGAACAUUUCUGAUAGGAAGUCUACUUCGAUCUACUUCAAUUUUGUAGGAGGAAACCUUGUUGCAUGGAGAAGUAAGAAACAAAAGGUAGUAGCAUUGUCCAAUGUUGAAGCUCAAUUUCAAGGAAUGUCUAAAGGACUUUGUGAGCUACUUUGGCCCAAGAAGAUAUUGAUUUUCAUCCUAGCUCCGAGGUGAACCUCUUUUGUGACAACAAGGCAGCAAUUGACAUUUCUCAUAAUUCAGUCCAACGCGAUCGUACCAAACACAUUGAGGUAGAUCGUCAUUUCAUCAACCAGAAUCUUGAGGCCAAGAUAAUCCGAUUUACAUUUGUUAAAUCUGAGGACCAGUUGGCAGACAUAUUCACAAAAGCUCUCUCUGGCAAAAACUUCUACAACUUACUUGACAAGUUGGGCAUUCAAGACAUGUAUGCAUCAACCUGAGGGGGAGUGUUGGCGUGAGUUGUCAAUAGGAAUAGAUUGGAGAAAU
rnacentral:misc_RNA from 1 species